ACACUUACCUGGCAGAGGAGUUGCUAUAACCAUGAAGAUGGUUUUCCCAGGAUGAGCCUUAUCCUCUGCAUUCCAGAUGUGCUGACACCAGCAAUUUCCCCAAAUGUGGGAAACUAAACUGCACAAUUCAUGGUGGUGGACUGCAUUCACCCUUUCCUUA